CUGAAAAUUGUUUUUACCAGUCUUCUCAUCUAUCCAACUCCUGCAUGAAAAUCUGGAGGGUGGGUUGGGCAAAGCCAAAAAUGAGGAACACAGUGAGUUGUUGCCUGAUAAUAUCUGGGAACUGCAGCUUCUCCACAACUACUGUAGUGUCCUCAAAUGGAGUGGCCAUUCAAUCAAAGUGUUGCUAGAAAUGAAGAAGCCUUUGAAACUAGUUAUGUGAAGUCACAGUGAAAGAAAAGCCAGGCUGUUUGUCGCAUCCUGCCCUCAAAUGGCAGCUCACCAGCUUGUCUGUUGUUGUUUGGUCACUUUUGAAGUUUUCAACAAUUUAUGAAAAAUACACACUAGUACAAGGUGCCAAUGACUGUGCUGUGAGAUGAAGGAGAAUGCCAGAGGUUUCUAGACAAGGGGAAUGUAUGAUCGUGUAUAAUCAAACAAAAAUCAAGAUCAUACAGUCAGAAACAGGCAAAAAAGAAAAGCCAAUAUACUGGAUAUACACGUAUCAAUCCAGGUGAAGGAGAAUAAUCACCAUGGUUCAUAAAAACAUUGGGGAAAACAUGGGUCUAAUUGCUUGCUCCAGUUAGA